UGAUCCUGCCAGUAGCAUAUGCUUGUCUCAAAGAUUAAGCCAUGCAUGUCUAAGUAUAAAUAGUAUACAGUGAAACUGCGAAUGGCUCAUUAAAACAGUUAUAGUUUAUUUGAUAAUGGAAGCCUACAUGGAUAACCGUAGUAAUUCUAGAGCUAAUACAUGCGUCCAAACCUGACUGAAUUGAAAGGUUGUAUUUAUUAGAUACGAAGCCAAUAUUCCUUCGGGAUUAUUGUGGUGAGUCAUAGUAACUGAUCGAAUCUCCUCAUGGAGAUAAAUCAUUCAAGUUUCUGCUCUAUCAGCUUUCGAUGGUAGUGUAUUGGACUACCAUGGCAGUCACGGGUAACGGAGAAUUAGGGUUCGAUUCCGGAGAGGGAGCCUGAGAAACGGCUACCACAUCUAAGGAAGGCAGCAGGCGCGUAAAUUACCCAAUCCUGACUCAGGGAGGUAGUGACAAGAAAUAACAACCCGGGGGACUCACGUCCUUACGGGAUUGCAAUGAGAACAAUAUAAAUCACUUAACGAGGAUCAAUUGGAGGGCAAGUCUGGUGCCAGCAGCCGCGGUAAUUCCAGCUCCAAUAGUGUAUAUUAAAGUUGUUGCAGUUAAAAAGCUCGUAGUUGAACUUCUGACGGCGCGCAGUUUUGGAUUUAUUCAGGCUGCGUCGCCGUCAUCCGUCUGCAAACUCCGUACAACCUUCAGUGGCUUGGCGGGGGGAGUAGACAUUUUACUUUGAAAAAAUUAGAGUGUUUCAAGCAGGUUAUUGCCAGAAUACUUUAGCAUGGAAUAAUGGAAUAGGACUCUUGUCCAUUUGGUUGGUUAUUG
rnacentral:rRNA from 1 species